rnacentral:rRNA from 1 species
AGUCUGCAACUCGACUACGUGAAGCUGGAAUCGCUAGUAAUCGCGAAUCAGAAUGUCGCGGUGAAUACGUUCCCGGGUCUUGUACACACCGCCCGUCACACCAUGGGAGUUGGGAAUGCCCGAAGCCGGUGACCUAACCGAAAGGGAGGAGCCGUCGAAGGCAGGCUUGAUAACUGGGGUGAAGUCGUAACAAGGUAGC